rnacentral:rRNA from 1 species
CUUGGUCAUUUAGAGGAAGUAAAAGUCGUAACAAGGUUUCCGUAGGUGAACCUGCGGAAGGAUCAUUACCGAGAGUUGUAGGCUUCUGUCUACCAUCUCUUAGCCAUGUCUUUUGCGUACUAUACGUUUCCUCGGCAGGUCCGCCUGCCGCUAGGACAAACAUAAACCAUUUGCAGUUGCAGUCAGCGUCUGAAAAACUUAAUAAUUACAACUUUCAACAACGGAUCUCUUGGUUCUGGCAUCGAUGAAGAACGCAGCGAAAUGCGAUAAGUAGUGUGAAUUGCAGAAUUCAGUGAAUCAUCGAAUCUUUGAACGCACAUUGCGCCCCUUGGUAUUCCAUGGGGCAUGCCUGUUCGAGCGUCAUUUGUACCUUCAAGCUCUGCUUGGUGUUGGGUGUUUGUCCCGCCUCUGCGCGUGGACUCGCCUUAAAGCAAUUGGCAGCCGGCGUAUAGAUUUCGGAGCGCAGCACAAAACGCGCUUUGUUAGCAAUACGGUGGCAUCCAUCAAGACUUUUUUUAACUCUUGACCUCGGAUCAGGUAGGGAUACCCGCUGAACUUAAGCAUAUCAAUAAGCGGAGGA